CAAUCCUUUGUUUCAUCUUAUCCAGACUUACCCUUUCCUGCGACGGCGGAGCACGAGGGGCGGCGCCCUCGUCGCCACCCACCGCCUCCCCUUCCUUCUGAGACCCACCUUGCCGCUGGCCCUCCCCCUCCUCUUCUCCCACCUUGCAGCUCCGGAGGCUGCCGGAUCCGCGGUAUCCCCUACCCACCCAUCCCUCUCCUGUCCCAUCUCUCACUCUUCACGCGGCUCCUCGUGGCUCCACCUACGGCGGAUGAUUCAGGCGACGUCCGGCGAAUCCCGCCAUCGCGAAGCACAGCCCGAGCUCCCAUCGCACCGCGGCACCCUCCCAUCCGGCUAUAUCCAGCACUCAAGGCCACCAAAGCUCACCCGCGACCCUCCCCCCAUGUCUAGGGUUUCGGGCAUCUUGUCCUCACCCAUGGCCAUGCCGUCCUCCUCUCGUCCGAUGUGCAGGGAGGAACGACCAGUGGACACCUUGUUGCUACUCGGGGACGAAGCGGCCAUGGAGAUUCCUCCUCCUCUGCUCCCAAGUCCUUAAUCCGCCGCAAUUAAGAUUGGCACUUCCUACGUCCCUCCUUCAGUUGCUUAGUCACUAGACACACGCAGCUAGGUUUUCUUUGGUUCAUUGAUAUGGUUCAUCUUCAUCGUGAUGGAUGUGCCCUCACAACCAAAAGGAUCAACAUACCUGCAUGGAGAUUAUUUAAUAACCUAGGUAAGGAUAAAACUAUAAAACUAAAUAGGACACACCUACAGUAAGAGACCAAUACAACGGCUCAAGUCUGAACUAAUUAAGUGGCGGCUAAUGAGUGAAAGAACUCUUUGUUUUUACUCUUUUAUUUUCUUGGUGUAUCCACAGAUUGCACCGUUUUUCUGUAUGAGAGGCACUAUUAGAGCCACCAUAAUAAUUCUAGAAGAGAGUUUUAAAGAACCAUAUGAUGUGUUAGCCAAUCAAAUGUAGGGUGUUACAUUGUAGAUUGGUUCGAGAGAGAGUUGGUUCGGUACUAUAGGCUUGUGCGUGACAACAGAAAUAUAUUAAUCCAAGUGGACAUUGUUUUCCUCCAGAAACGAGGUAGAUCCAUCUGGGAUGUGACAACGAAGUGCUGAGCAAAGAAGUGGCUUGGUGGGGAUGGCAUGCUUAAUUUGAUCUACUUUAAAUUAUCAUGCGCCUUCUUUCCUUUUACUUAUUAGUUCUCUCCCUAAAGCUAGAAAGACACCGUGACAUGCAAAUUUGACCCUAUCAACCUCAAGAAUUAUCUUUUCCUUCUAAAUGUCCCAGCGGAAGAUAAGAUUUGGCUUCACUGAUGUAAAUAAUUCUAAGAGGUUUGCAUCCUUCCUUUUUACUUAUGUACAUUAUUGAUGAUGGUGCUACCUAUGCACAUAUUCAGGUUGUAGCCAUAUUCAUUGUAAGCAGAAGUUUUUUUUGAAGAGCUAUCUUUUGAGCACAUGCUCAGGUUCGCUUGAUAUCUAAGUAAGGAUAAAACUGAUGGUUAGUACCUGAUAUGUCUUCUCUAAAAAAGUUCAAGUAUUUGAUACUUAACUUACACGUUGAAAUUUAACAAGCAUGGGAGAAUCUGACUGUCACAUUUGUAGAUUCUCAAUUUUUAGCUUAAGAUCAAGAUUCCAUAAGGCUAAUUGACCAGUUAAAUUGUAUUCAGUUUUGGUGUGGAAACUCAUUGACAAAAAUGUGUAUUUUAGACUUUUAGUUCCAAGUGUCAAUACUAGAAAGAGAACACUGAGCUUGAUCUUCAAUCAAAAUGAGUAACUGGAGCAUCAGCCUCUUUAAACUGAAACCUACAUAGGUAAUCAUAUAUGUUCUACUGCAUCAUUUGUUUAGAUGUCAUACUUUAAGUUAACAACCCCCGUUCUUUGUGCUACACCCAGCUAUAAAUCCUUGCAUCUGAUUUCAUAAAAUUCUAUUCCACCAUAUAAUGAAGCACAUAUUUUCAAAAAGCUAUAGUUCUGUUCCAAAGCGUGAUGAGCAGACCACCUGUAGGUUUGUCUGUUUCCUGCUGGAUGACCGAAACCAACUAGAGUUAAAUGUUUUGGUUCAGUUUCAGAUGACUAAAAAACUGGUUUGGUUCAGUUUGCUAACUAGCAGGAGAACAGAAGAGAAGUGGUACUGUCACUCACAUUGCCAGCAAGGUCAUCAGUGAGGCGGUGCCGCGUGGGAGAGGAAGUCAUAGGGGGUCGCUAGAUCUCACAGGGAAGAUCAGGGGAGAGAGGAGCUACCGCGCAUCCGUGCCAAAUCUGACAGACGGCCAUGCUUUUGUGCUAGGUCUGGGUGCCACGGUUGAGGUUCUGUUGAGGAGCAUGUGACACACAAAGCACGAGUAGAUGGAGUGGAGGUGUAGGGAGCACCGGGAGGUAGCUUCGACCUUACCACGGGCGAUGGUUGGAGAAAAGAAAGGGUGGCGCUGGGUGGUGAAAUAACACGAGGAAGAAAGAGGAGCUCCCGGUGGGAUUGGGGAUUUGGUACCGUUGUUGCUAUAGAUAUUGUACUUUGGCAUCCAGUAGAAGUUGCUAUACAUGCACUCGCAUUGAUUUUUUUUUCAAAGACAACAUGCCUACUUUUGAAUUCCA